GGGCCUGUAGCUCAGUUGGUCAGAGCGCACGCCUGAUAAGCGUGAGGUCGGUGGUUCGAGUCCGCCCAGGCCCACCA
rnacentral:tRNA from 1 species